AACGAACGCUGGCGGCAUGCCUAACACAUGCAAGUCGAACGAGACCUUCGGGUCUAGUGGCGCACGGGUGCGUAACGCGUGGGAACCUGCCCUUAGGUUCGGAAUAACUCCCCGAAAGGGGUGCUAAUACCGGAUAAUGUCUUCGGACCAAAGAUUUAUCGCCUUUGGAUGGGCCCGCGUUGGAUUAACUUGUUGGUAGGGUAAAAGCCUACCAAGGCGACGAUCCAUAGCUGGUCUGAGAGGCUGAUCAGCCACACUGGGACUGAGACACGGCCCAGACUCCUACGGGAGGCAGCAGUGGGGAAUAUUGGACAAUGGGCGAAAGCCUGAUCCAGCAAUGCCGCGUGAGUGAUGAAGGCCUUAGGGUUGUAAAGCUCUUUUACCCGGGAUGAUAAUGACAGUACCGGGAGAAUAAGCUCCGGCUAACUCCGUG
rnacentral:rRNA from 1 species